rnacentral:rRNA from 1 species
UACGAAGGGUGCAAGCGUUACUCGGAAUUACUGGGCGUAAAGCGUGCGUAGGUGGUUCGUUAAGUCUGAUGUGAAAGCCCCGGGCUCAACCUGGGAACUGCAUUGGACUACUGGCGAUCUGGAGUGCGGUAGAGGGUGGCGGAAUUCCCGGUGUAGCAGUGAAAUGCGUAGAUAUCGGGAGGAACAUCCGUGGCGAAGGCGGCCACCUGGACCAGCACUGACACUGAGGCACGAAAGCGUGGGAGC